rnacentral:rRNA from 1 species
UGGGGGAUAUUGCACAAUGGGCGAAAGCCUGAUGCAGCGACGCCGCGUGGGGGAUGAAGGCUUUCGGGUUGUAAACCUCUUUCGCUAUCGAACAAGGCCCGCCUAGGGUGGGUUGAGGGUAGGUGGAGAAGAAGCGCCGGCUAACUACGUGCCAGCAGCCGCGGUAAUACGUAGGGCGCGAGCGUUGUCCGGAAUUAUUGGGCGUAAAGGGCUUGUAGGCGGCUUGUUGCGCCUGCUGUGAAAACGCGGGGCUUAACUUCGCGCGUGCAGUGGGUACGGGCAGGCUUGAGUGUGGUAGGGGUGACUGGAAUUCCAGGUGUAGCGGUUGAAUGCGCAGAUAUCUGGAGGAACACCGAUGGCGAAGGCAGGUCACUGGGCCAUUACUGACGCUGAGGAGCGAAAGCAUGGGUAGCGAACAGG